CGCCCCUUUAUGCCCGCGCCGCGCCGCCCGCCCCACGCCGGCGCGCCCACCCCCGCUUCCCCAGCGGGCCCCGCCGGCAAUAAUUACCCGUGGCCCCGCGCCUCUCCCCGCCCCGAAUUGGGGGGGGGGGCGGGGGCGCAAAGGGCGAGCGGGAGUCCGCGCGAGGGGCGCGACCGCGAGCAAGGUGCAACGGGCGCCGCUCCCGGACGUCGGAGAAAAUGCACCUGUUCUCUGCUCCCAGGGGCAGCUGGGGAUGUUUCCGCGACAUGAGUGACCUGCGCGCCGCCUUCUAUUCGGCAUCCGCGCGCGCUCCUGGAAGAAGCCGCAGAGCCGGGGUGCGUGGUGGAAGGAAGGCGGCCACCCAACUUUCCUGAGUUCGGCGCGGGAACUUUGCAUGCCCUCGCGGGGUCCGCCCGCCAGGAAGCACCUGCUUUCUCUUCUCUCCCACUCGGAGGCCGAGAAGAGUAACUGACAUUACUAGAGCCGAUUAGGAAUUGGCCGAAAUUGUACUGGGGGGCAGGGUGGGGAGAGCUAGGUUGGAACUUGGAAUGUUGGGAGAGAGGGACUUGUGGUGAACUUCCCCUUGAAGUGUGUAAGGAAGAUGCUCCCGUGAAGAGCCCCCCGACGCGCGCAACCUGAAUGGCGGGUCCCGCAGGCCCCAGUCCAGGACGCCUUCGAGGAAGACAAAGGAGAUGUAUGGGAUGCGUUGGAACUUUGCUCUCCUCUCCCUCUUACUGUUAUCUUUUAACCAUUUCAAACCAGUACUUGUUCUUUAAUUCGAUCGUGCAGAAUUACUUGGUGAACGUCAAAUGACAGUUGUGAUUGUUCUUCCAAAAGAGAGAGAGAAACACCAAGUACGAUGUGCCUCAAUCCUGGCGCACCUGCUCCUGUGAUCAAUGACUAAGAUCCUCACAGAGUAGAUCCAUUCUCAUCUAGUGAUCAUCCCUGCACUGCUGUUUCAUACAAACUUAAAAUCAAUAAAGUUUUAAAUUUUGCAGAUGAAGUUACUUUUAUUAAUUUCCUUAAAAUGUAAGCACAACUAAUUUAUUCCAGUGUUUUAUUAAAUAGUCCCACCUCCAGCUAGCAUAUAUUAUUGUGGUUAGUAAGAUUAAGCCAUCAGGCUGGAACAAGACAUUGCUAUUCUGUUACAUGUGGCAUCUACAUUUUUCAAUAAAUGUGAAAUAACAAACAAUGACACUCCAGGUGUUAAAAAAAUUAUACCACGCAACCACACAGUCACACUCUCUUCCAGCUAAAUUAAAAAGCUUCUAUAUCUGCACGCAGGAUCACAUUUCCCUUCUAGAGCUGAAGAUUAGAGUGUCUGCUGCUUGCAGCUUGUUAAGUUUCAAUUAGAAAUGCUUCAUGGGUCUCUUGGAAAACAGCUUAGGCUAAGUGUUCACUUAUUGAUGUAUGGUCUAUUUGCUCGGGGCAGAUUGUAUUUAUUGCUACCUUCAUUUAACCAACAGUUUUAAAAAAAGAGAGCGAGUGAGAGAGAGAGAUAGAGAGAGGGACUUUUAGAGCAGUGAUUAAAAAGGACCAAGGUGACUGAAUGCUUCAUAUCUUAAGUUUUUCUCUCUCUGAAGGGGACAUAAAGCACAUGUAUCUCCAGUUGGACAUCAUAGCUUUCAGCAUUUGCAGGGAUGUCCCCAGGUGAUAAUGUAACCCAAUGAUAAAAAUUACAUGGUAAUUAAACUUUAUUUCCAGAA